rnacentral:rRNA from 1 species
AUUGAACGCUGGCGGCAGGCCUAACACAUGCAAGUCAAGCGAGCGGCGGACGGGUGAGUAAUGUCUGGGAAACUGCCUGAUGGAGGGGGGUAACUACUGGAAACGGUAGCUACUACCGCAUACCAUCAGAUGUGCCCAGAUGGGAUUAGCUAGUAGGUGUGGUAACGGCUCACCUAGGCGACGAUCCCUAGCUGGUCUGAGAGGAGGAACAGCCACACUGUGACUGAGACACGGUCCAGACUCCUACGGGAGGCAGCAGUGGGGAAUAUGGCACAAUGGGCGCAAGCCUGAUGCAGCCAUGCCGCGUGUGUGAAGAAGGCCUUCGGGUUGUAAAGCACUUUCAGCGGGGAGGCGUUACCCGCAGAAGAAGCACCGGCUAACUCCGUGCCAGCAGCCGCGGUAAUAC